rnacentral:misc_RNA from 1 species
AGAAUAUUUCUUUUGAGCUUGAUCCAUAACUAAGGGGACCUGAUUUUUGCCAUUAGGGUAAUCAAUCUAUGGCCAAGUCAUUGACUAUGGAUGUAAUUUUAUUUUCUUGUGACUAGAAUUAGCUGUCUGUUGUUAAUAACUAGACCUCUGUUGUUCCUCGGAUGAAGUUUAAAACCAACAAAUAUCAAAGCGUGACUUUGAGCAUUGACUCAUAUUAUUGAGCCCAUAACUUCCCAAAAGUGUGUCAGAUAGAUGAUGAAAAAAAAAAAG